UCCGACCUGCACGAAUGGCGUAACGCUGGCCCCACUGUCUCGACCCGAGACUCAGUGAAGUUGAAAUCGCUGUGAAGAUGCGGCGUAGCUGCGGAAAGACGGAAAGACCCCGUGAACCUUUACUACAGCUUUACACUGAACUUUGACCUUGUCUGUGUAGGAUAGGUGGGAGCCUUUGAAGCAGGGGCGCUAGCUCUUGUGGAGGCAACGUUGAAAUACCACCCUGAUAAUGUCGGAGUUCUAACCUUGGUCCGUUAUCCGGACCGGGGACACUGUAUGGUGGGUAGUUUGACUGGGGCGGUCUCCUCCUAAAGAGUAACGGAGGAGUGCAAAGGUACCCUCAGCGCGGUCGGUCAUCGCGCUCAAGAGUGCAAUGGCAUAAGGGUGCUUGACUGCGAGACUGACAAGUCGAGCAGGUGCGAAAGCAGGUCAUAGUGAUCCGGUGGUUCUGUAUGGAAGGGCCAUCGCUCAACGGAUAAAAGGUACUCCGGGGAUAACAGGCUUAUUCCUCCCAAGAGUCCACAUCGACGGAGGAGUUUGGCACCUCGAUGUCGGCUCAUCACAUCCUGGGGCUGUAGCAGGUCCCAAGGGUUCGGCUGUUCGCCGAUUAAAGUGGUACGCGAGCUGGGUUCAAAACGUCGUGAGACAGUUUGGUCCCUAUCUUCCGUAGCCGUUGGAGAUUUGAGGGUGAGCUGUCCUUAGUACGAGAGGACCGGGAUGGACGCACCUCUGGUGUUCCGGUUGUCACGCCAGUGGCACUGCCGGGUAGCUAUGUGCGGACGGGAUAACCGCUGAAAGCAUCUAAGCGGGAAGCCCCCCCCAAGAUUAGAUCUCCCUGGGAGCUCGACUCCCCUGAAGGGCCCACGAAGACUACGUGGUUGAUAGGCUGGGUGUGUACGGCCAGUAAUGGCUUCAGCUAACCAGUACUAAUUGCCCGUGAGGCUUGACCAUAUAACCUCAAGUGGUUUGG
rnacentral:rRNA from 1 species